UACGUAGGUGGCAAGCGUUGUUCGGAAUUAUUGGGCGUAAAGGGCGCGUAGGCGGUUUGUUAAGUCGGUCGUGAAAGCCCGGGGCUCAACCCCGGAGGGUCGACCGAUACUGGCAGACUAGAGUACAGAAGAGGUAGCUGGAAUUCCGGUGUAGCGGUGAAAUGCGUAGAUAUCGAGGAGGAACCGACCGGUGGCGAAGGCAAUCCCCUGGGCCCUGCACUGACGCUCGAUGCACGAAAGCGUGGGGAGCAAACAGG
rnacentral:rRNA from 1 species